rnacentral:lncRNA from 1 species
UUUUUUUUUUUUUUUUUUUUUUUGUCUUUUUGCCAUUUCUUGGGCCGCUCCCGUGGCACAUGGAGGUUCCCAGGCCAGGGGUCCAAUCGGAGCUGUAGCCGCCAGCCUACGCCAGAGCCACAGCAACGCAGGAUCCGAGCUGUGUCUGCAACCUACAUCACAGCUCACGGCAACGCUGGAUCGUUAACCCACUGAGCAAGGGCAGGGACUGAACCGGAAACCUCAUGGUUCCUAGUCGGAUUCGUUAACCACUGCGCCAUGACGGGAACUCCAAGAAGAAUGUUUUAAAUCACAUCUAAAAGUAUAAUUUUCCAAGCAAGAUUUCUGAAGGGGAAAAAAAUAAUGAAUAAAAAUAGUAAUUUUAAAGGCAGAGCAAAAUCAAAGCACUUGGAAAAUUGUACAUCUUAGCAUAGAGUGUGGCUCAGGAUGAAAAAAAUUAAGAGCAGGAAAUAAUGUUUUGCUGAUUGAAACUUACUCAAAAGACAUAACCACAAAACCAGAAAAAAAAGAAAAAGGAAAAAAAAUUUUUUUAACAUAUUAUAGUAACAUUGGGAAAAGUUCAUGGUUUCUGGUUAAUGUCAAUCCUGUCAUAAAUUAAAAUUCCUUUUCCACUCAGGCAGAUGCUAAACCAAAGUCAACAGAACGAUCUGAUCACAUCACAUUGUGGUCAGAAAUGAAAACACUUUAAAAACUGUAUUAUUUCCUUAGGAAAGGAAAGCACAAAUACUACAAACCUGUUGCAACAAGGGAGGAGCAUUUUGAGUCAGACUCACUCAUCCUUUCCUAAGACCUGAGACAAAUAGGAGGGAGACCAAGUGCAAAUCUGGAACAACUGCUGCCCAGCUUUCUCUAAGUCCCUGAAAAGUGGUGUCUCAAUUGGGAGCUAUGCUUUUCUCUAUCUCCAAACACUUUAAAAAUCAAAACAUUCAUAUUUUCUAUUGCUCUCUCACAGAAAAUAAGGAGUAUAAUAUGGUAUUUGUUCAUCAUUUUUAAUAUUAUCUACAUUCAGUGAGUGCUAAGAUGGUACUUUCUCAGUCAAGUGUUGGGCUCUUCUUGGACAGGCAAGUUAGAGAAGGUGCUGCCUGCUAUUAACUGUUUUCUUUCCUUUUUUUUUUUAUCUUCUUAGGGCUGCACCUGUGACAUAUGGAGGCUCCUAGGCUAGGGGGCAAAUUGGAGCUGUAGCUGCCAGCCUAGGCCACAACCACAGCAAUGCAGGAUCCGAGCUGCAUUCGAAACCUACACAACAGCUUGUGGCCACACCACACCUUUAACCCACUAAGCGAGGCCAGGGAUUGGACCUGCAUCCUCAUGGACAUUAGUUGGGUUUUUAACCUGGUGAGCUACAGCAGGAACUCCCUAUUUACUCAGCUUUCUGACAUCUAGGGAGAUUGUAAACAGGGGAGAAGCUGCUAGAUCUUACUUUUUUGAUAAUCAGCUAUUGAGAGAGAGAUAUAUAUAUCCAAGCCACAGUUGCAGACCCAAGCUGCAGCUGUAGCAACACCCGAUCCUUCGCCCUCUGUGCUGAGCCAGGGAUCCAACCUGCGUCUCAGCACUCCAGAGAUACCACCUAUCCUGUUGCACCACAGCAGGAACUCCAAUCAUCUAUUGAUUUUUGACCACAAGAGUUUUUUGGUUUUUUUUUUUAACCAACACACAAUUAAGCACUUUCUCAUUAAAUCUACUGUGGUAAAAACACUUGCUCUCAACUUCGGCAUACAUGAAGACAAUGAGAAUAGAUUGGCAAGAUGGUUUAAUUGUAGCAUACUUGGUUAGCUCUCAAGUUGAAUGCUUAGAAAAAGGUUUGUUUCAUCAUCUCUUGGAAUCAGGAAGAAAAACAACCCUUAAAGUUUCUGCAUAAGUAUGAUAUUCUUCCUUUUGUGAAAUUUGGGAUAAUAAUUAAUAUCUUACAAAACACAAUGCAUAACCAAAAGUUCCUCCAGCUUAAAAAAAUUAAUUAAUAAAAUGCCAUGUUCAAUCGUUCAUGCUUAUUUCUCAGAAGGGGAACAGCUAAUUAGGAUACAAAGAAACACUCAAUCCUACUGGUAAUUAGAAAAUACAAAUUAAAAUGAGACAUUACUAAAUGGCAAAAUUAGAAAAGUAGACAAUACUAUGCGUGGGGGAGGUUGGGAAUGCAAGUCCUGUCAGGUGUAAACUGAUACAACCAUUCAGCAGCCUGACAAUACUUAUGCCGCAAUGCCACUCCUGAGUCUGUAUCCCAAGAAAUUCUCAAACGUGUUCACAGUGGACAUGGAUGAGACUGUUUAUUGGUACCACUGUUUGCGGUAGCCUAGGCAUCCAUCACUGUGGGAAUGGAUGCACACCACGGAAUAGUAUGCUGCAGUUAGGAGCAAUUAGCUAAAUGUACAUCCUAAACACACAUAGCUCUUAAAAACAGUACUGACCAAAAAAGUAAAACUAGAGUAAGAUCUACAGCAUUUCUGCAGGGAGAAUUCUACAGCCAAAUUUUACACCCAUGUGGUAUCAUGAGUGAUUUUGGGAUUAAAGAUACACAUACAAAAAACAUCACUAAGUAAUUUGUAAAGAUGCAUACAGAAUCAAGGACAUAUAUCAGACACAUUAGAGAGGAUGUUUGUGGGACAGGAACAGGAAAUGGACAUGGGAACAGUGGCCAAACAGAAGGCUUUUAUACACCAAUGCUAGGCUGCAUCCAAACCACAGAGUAUAAAAUCCAAAUUCAGAAUAAUAUUUUUCAUUCAUGCAUACAUUAAUGUAUUCAAUAAAAACUUAUUGAAUGCCUCUUAAUUGUCAAGUGCUGUGCUUAAAUGUAAACUUUUCUUAUUUCUGCUGAAGUUUUUGUUUGUCUGUUUGUUUGUUUUGUCUUUUUGCUUUUUUCUUAAGCCACUCCCAAGGCAUAUGGGGGUUCCCAGGCUAGGGGGGUUGAAUCAGAGCUGCAGCUGCUGGCCUAUGCCACAGCCACAGCAACGCCAGAACCUUAACCCACUGAGUGAGGCCAGGGAUUGAACUUGCAUCCUCAUGGAUACUAGUCAGGUUCACUGCCACUGAGCCAUAACGGGAACUCCUCUAAAUGACAAACUUAAAUGACAAACCAAAAGAAAAGAAAACAAAACAAAAGCCCUAAAAAAUUACAGUCACAUCUUAGCCCCCAGGUAAAACAUCUUUUCUCAUGGCUUUCAGUAGUGAAACAAUUUCUUUCUUCUUUUUUUCUUGGCCACGUCCAUGGCAUGCAGAAGUUCCUGGUCCAGGGACCAAACCCACACCAUAGCUCUAAGUACAGCUACAGCAGUGACAACACCAGAUCCUUACCCCACUGAAUCAUUCAGGAACUCCAAUUAUUUCUUUUUGGUAGAGAAUUUUUUGCUACUUUAUUUGUUCUUUGUAAUAUUUUUCCCCCAAAGAUAUUUCAACUGCUCAGGAACACUUCUCGCCAGAUUUCUGUUUCCAAAAGAUUUCACAAGCAGGCUGCUAGCUGCCAAUGAAAGUGCUGUAGCUAAUAUGCUCAUUACACUGCACUGCUAACAGAAACUGAUUAAUAAUUUGGUGCAAAGUGACAUCUAUUCCACAUCCCAGGGGCACAAAAAAAAUAAUGUUUUCCCCUCAUUUUACCUGUUCCCCUCUUUUUACAAGCUCCAAAUGUUAACUAGUAUACAUGAUAAUAUUGGUAAACAAACCCAACAGCAACUUACAGGACAUCAUUUGUCUAAAGCUCCAAAAUUGUACCUCUUCACUAUUUCAGAUUUUGAUACUACGUGUCUGUAGGUGGGGGGAAUCAAAGGCGAAUAGGAAGAGCUAGGCCAACCAUCAACCUUCCUGGGAAAAAAGGCAACUACAUGUCUGUCAGUGGGGUUAGCUGAAGCAUCACUGCACAGAACAAAAGACAACAUACUAAUUUAUUAGGCUUACAAAAGAUAAUGUAUUUCAAUAAUAAUAGCUAACAUUGAGCACUUAUUAUGUGUCAGUCACUGUUCUAAAUAUUUUAUAUGCAUUGUUUACUUCAAUCCUCACACAACAACCCAUUUUCAAAUCAAAUGCAAGCUGUUUAUCAUUGUGUCAAAGUUUCCAGCAAAUGUUCACAACUUCCACUGUAUCCGCUCUUUCUGCCAUUACCGUCC